GAUGAACGCUGGCGGCGUGCCUAAUACAUGCAAGUAGAACGCUGAAGGCGGAGCUUGCUCUGUUUGAUGAGUUGCGAACGGGUGAGUAACGCGUAGGUAACCUGCCUUUUAUUGGGGGAGAACCGUUGGAAACUAUAGCUAAUACCGCAUGACAACAGUUAUUGCAUGAUAACUGGUUAAAAGGGGCAACUGCUCCACUACCAGAUGGACCUGCGUUGUUUUAGCUAGUGGGUGAGGUAACGGCUCACCAAGGCGACGAUACAUAGCCGACCUGAGCGGGUGAUCGGCCACACUGGGACUGGGACACGGCCCAGACUCCUACGGGAGGCAGCAGUAGGGAAUCUUCGGCAAUGGACGGAAGUCUGACCGAGCAACGCCGCGUGAGUGAAGAAGGUUUUCGGAUCGUAAAGCUCUGUUGUAAGAGAAGAACGAGUGUGAGAGUGGAAAGUUCACACUGUGACGGUAUCUUACCAGAAAGGGACGGCUAACUACGUG
rnacentral:rRNA from 1 species